rnacentral:rRNA from 1 species
UUGGAAAAGGAAGAAAGAGAGGGCAUGCGUGGCUGCAGCCCGCCCCGUGUCGUGUUGGUUAAGUUAACUCCCGGAGCGAGACCCCCCCUUGCCUUUGCCAGCCGUCAUUCAGUGGGACUCUCUAGAGAGACCCCCGGUAAAAAGCCGGGGGAAGGUGGGGAAGACGUCAAGUCCUCAUGCCCCUUACGGGUGGGGACACACACGUGACACAAUGGUGGUGACAGUGGGCAGACAGGCAAAGAGGCCAAGAUAAUCUAAAAAACCCAUUCCAGUUGGAUAG